rnacentral:rRNA from 1 species
UACAGAGGUCCCGAGCGUUGUUCGGAUUCAUUGGGCGUAAAGGGUGCGUAGGCGGCGGGGCAAGUCUGAUGUGAAAUCCCGGGGCUCAACCCCGGAACUGCAUUGGAUACUGCCUUGCUCGAGUACUGGAGAGGGAACUGGAAUUUACGGUGUAGCAGUGAAAUGCGUAGAGAUCGUAAGGAAGGCCAGUGGCGAAGGCGAGUUCCUGGACAGUGACUGACGCUGAGGCACGAAGGCCAGGGGAGCAAACAGG